rnacentral:ribozyme from 13 species
AAGAAGUAAGAGAAGAGAGAAAGAGAGGGAAAAGGGAGUUAGGGAGUGGAGUGACGAACCCGCGUUGCUUUCCGUUUUCCUUUCUUGCCCCUUUGUUCCCUUUGUUUGUCUUUUUCUUUUCC